ACCCCCUUAGUUAAGUGGAUAUAACAAAUCCCUCCUAAGGAUUAGUCGCUGGUUCGACUCCGGCAGGGGGUG
rnacentral:tRNA from 1 species